GACGAACGCUGGCGGCGUGCUUAACACAUGCAAGUCGAGCGAAGGUGUUUCAAGGGUAACCUUGAGAUACACUUAGCGGCGGACGGGUGAGUAAUACGUGGAUAACUUACCUCUAGGGCCUGGGAUAACCCCGGGAAACUGGGGCUAAUACCUGAUAAGACCACAUUGUCUACGGACAAAGGGGUAAAGUGGCUGUGCAAACAGCUAUCGCCAAAAGNUAGGUUCACGUCCCAUCAGGCAGUUGGNGAGGUAAUGGCUCACCAAACCAAGACGGGUAGCCGGCCUUGGCGGGUGAACGGCCACAC
rnacentral:rRNA from 1 species